rnacentral:rRNA from 1 species
UACGAAGGGGCUAGCGUUGCUCGGAAUCACUGGGCGUAAAGGGUGCGUAGGCGGGUCUUAAGUCAGGGGUGAAAUCCUGGAGCUCAACUCCAGAACUGCCUUUGAUACUGAGGAUCUUGAGUCCGGGAGAGGUGAGUGGAACUGCGAGUGUAGAGGUGAAAUUCGUAGAUAUCGCAAGAACACCAGUGGCGAAGGCGGCUAACUGGCCCGGUACUGACGCUGAGAUAC